rnacentral:lncRNA from 1 species
GCCGCCGGUCAACGGCCGGCGCGUGGUGGUCACGCGCCGGUGACACUUCACCAGAAUGUGGGGAAUUUUGUUACGGACCCAAUUCCAUCAUCGGUUUUUCCACAUGAGGCCCAGACAGUGCUCAACCAGGGCCAAAAGACCUAUGCUACUGCAGUUUCUGGCCGUCCGGGCCUAUCUCAAGCUGAACGGAGUUCACGAAAGUCGUUUGCAUCGGUUAUACAGGGUAUAGAUGACUCUUCCACUGCUGGGUUUGCUGCUAAAGAACCCUUUAUACAUAUGGGUGAGCCGGCAAUAGUUUUGACUGAGUCCGAGGAGGCUACACUCGCUGAUCCUUACAAGUAUACACUUGUGGGGAAAUUUCCACAUCGCAAGCCAACCAUGAGGAAGGUACGUGAGAUUUUUUCUAAGUUUGGGUUCCAUGGUUGUUUCGAGGUGGGAUUGAUUGACACAACACACAUUCUUAUACACCUUACACAUGAGGAGGAUUACAGCAGGC